AAAAGAAUUGGUUGAUUAUAUAUGGAAUCACUGAGUCAUGGCAGGAGCAGGCCCCUCUUAGGCAGUCGGUGGGCCCCACUUAUGAAAAAUUCUGGAUCCACCACUGUGGUCAGGGUGGUCUUCAGUUGUAUUAUCUUUUUAAAAAAAAAUUACACCUGUAUAGUGUAUAUUCUUUAGUGUAAAUCAAGGGAAAAUACUGAACUAUCUGUGCAUUGGGGGUCGCCAUUAUUAAAAAGGUUUGUUUGAGACAAAAUAAAAUGUUUGCUGAUUUGAGUUGUGUUUUAAUAAAUAGUUAUCAUUAGUUUGUUGUUUAUUCUAUAAUAUAAGUGAAAACAAUGAACAGGACUCUGUCGAGUCACAGCGUGGGGUAAGUCUGGGUUGAAGCCACUAGGUUUGUUUACAUAGUAAUUAUCACCAUUUGAGGAUAGUAAUCAAUGUCCAGGAAGUUUGAAUUUGGCUUGGGUGUCGUUAUUGUCUUGAUUAAAGCCAUAAAGGCGAUGUACACAAAUCUCACCUGGAAACACCUGUUCAGAAAUAAAAACAAUAUGGCGAUUUCCUGUGCAUCAAAUUUUACGUUUUAACCAUUCUGACCUAGAUUUUGUCAUUUUUUUAUUCAUUAAAGAAGACAAUUGACACUGUUGACUAGAGAAUCUUUCUAUAUUUAUC
rnacentral:lncRNA from 1 species